GACGAACGCUGGCGGCGUGCUUAACACAUGCAAGUCGAGCGGUAAGGCCCCUUCGGGGGGUACACGAGCGGCGAACGGGUGAGUAACACGUGGGUGACCUGCCCUCAGCUCUGGGAUAAGCCUGGGAAACUGGGUCUAAUACCGGAUAUGACUCCAUGACGCAUGUCGUGGGGUGGAAAGCCUUGUGCGGCUGGGGAUGGGCCCGCGGCCUAUCAGCUUGUUGGUGGGGUGAUGGCCUACCAAGGCGACGACGGGUAGCCGGCCUGAGAGGGCGACCGGCCACACUGGGACUGAGACACGGCCCAGACUCCUACGGGAGGCAGCAGUGGGGAAUCUUGCGCAAUGGGCGAAAGCCUGACGCAGCGACG
rnacentral:rRNA from 1 species